rnacentral:rRNA from 1 species
AUUGAACGCUGGCGGCAUGCCUUACACAUGCAAGUCGAACGGCAGCACGGGAGCUUGCUCCUGGUGGCGAGUGGCGAACGGGUGAGUAAUACAUCGGAACGUACCCUGAAGUGGGGGAUAACGUAGCGAAAGUUACGCUAAUACCGCAUAUUCUGUGAGCAGGAAAGAGGGGGAUCGCAAGACCUCUUGCUUUAGGAGCGGCCGAUGUCGGAUUAGCUAGUUGGUGAGGUAAAGGCUCACCAAGGCGACGAUCCGUAGCGGGUCUGAGAGGAUGAUCCGCCACACUGGGACUGAGACACGGCCCAGACUCCUACGGGAGGCAGCAGUGGGGAAUUUUGGACAAUGGGCGCAAGCCUGAUCCAGCCAUGCCGCGUGAGUGAAGAAGGCCUUCGGGUUGUAAAGCUCUUUCGGUGGGGUAAGGAAAGUUAGCACAGGAUAAUA